rnacentral:rRNA from 1 species
GCUCAACCGAGGAAGUGCUUCGAAAACUGGUAAACUUGAGUGCAGAAGAGGAAAGUGGAACUCCAUGUGUAGCGGUGGAAUGCGUAGAUAUAUGGAAGAACACCAGGGGCGAAGGCGGCUUUCUGGUCUGUAACUGACGCUGAGAUUCGAAAGCAUGGGUAGCAAACAGGAUUAGAUACCCUGGUAGUCCAUGCCGUAAACGAUGAGUGCUAAGUGUUGGAGGGUUUCCGCCCUUCAGUGCUGCAGCUAACGCAUUAAGCACUCCGCCUGGGGAGUACGAUCGCAAGAUUGAAACUCAAAGGAAUUGACGGGGGCCCGCACAAGCGGUGGAGCAUGUGGUUUAAUUCGAAGCAACGCGAAGAACCUUACCAGGUCUUGACAUACCAUGAAAAGCUAAGAGAUUAGUCUUUCCCUUCGGGGACAUGGAUACAGGUGGUGCAUGGUUGUCGUCAGCUCGUGUCGUGAGAUGUUGGGUUAAGUCCCGCAACGAGCGCAACCCUUAUUAUCAGUUGCCAGCAUUCAGUUGGGCACUCUGGUGAGACUGCCGGUGACAAACCGGAGGAAGGUGGGGACGACGUCAAAUCAUCAUGCCCCUUAUGACCUGGGCUACACACGUGCUACAAUGGUCGGUACAACG